UACUGCACACCUUGGCCUUUAAACCAAAAUGUUUUCAUAUGAUUCACCUUUUUACCGGCGUCACCAUUUGAGAAAUGUCAAACGUGCACAUCGUUUGGGAUUCACGUAAAACGCAGAGACGACAAGUCGGGUUUUUACUGCUAACGUUAGCUAGCUAACGUGUACUGCUAGCUGACGUUAGCGAGAAAACAAACGAGCUGCUCAUGUGAUGUUUUGGUUGUUUCAGCUCGACCUGAUCGACUGGAGGAAAAGUUGAGUUUAGUCGUUAGUCUGUUCGGUUUGUUUCCACCAACAUGCUAAACAAUCCCGGCUAAGCUAACGCGGCUGUCUGUUCAGUGUUGUCGACCUUUUCUCGCUGCUCAACUUUAGCUCGUCAGUCCUCCAACUUUCCACAAUACAAGCGAGUUAGCCUGUGUUAUCUGACCGAAGCUAAUGAGGUACAUCAUGUCCGAAACACGGUGGUCUUUAAAAACAUUCACAAGUAUCAGAUACGACUUUCCAUUUCUUCAUUUAGCCCCUGAGCUGCUGUCUGUGAGGCUGCUGUGUUGAAGGCCUCAGAGAGUUCACACAGACCCCCAAACAUAUGUUUUUACCAGAUCUGUUAUUUAAAUGAUCAAUAGCAUCGAAGUGUACCGAAGCUUUAGAGAAAUCUACAGAUCUUCAGCCACAUUUUAACCAAAAAGCUCCUGCGGGGGAGAAAGAGAGAGCAGCAGGGGUUCACUGAAAUCCACGUCGGCUUUGCACAGGCUGCUUUUAAAAAUCAAAGUACAUACACGUUGCAUUUAUAUUUAAUUAGACAGAUGUGUGGGAGAGGAAUAAGUUCAUUAAAGAUUGGAAGUAAACCCCUGCACUCUGUCUAAAUUAAACAUGUACAAAUGUUGCUCAUGUUAAAGUUGAAUUUGUACGGAGGCCCUGAGGGGACAUUGGCAGAAAAAAGUCUGAUGCUUGAGAAACUAGCUCUUUUCAGACUGCUGUUUUUUUUUUCCGCAAAGGUGCCGCAACUAAGUUCAGCCUUCAUCACAUGGUUGUACAUUCAUAUUGAUUCUGUGACGUUGUAAUAUUCUUGUACAUGUCUGUAAGUUCACAUUGCGUUUCAGGGAUGCAGGAACUCCACAUACACAGAAUCACAGACAUGCACACACACACAGCGCUGUGCUCCUCUGCUGGCUCCGCUGAAACCAUCUUGCCUCUGUUACUUCCUCUGAAGACGGUACAGAAGGGCGAUCAUUAUGCCUUUGGGACAUUAAUAUUGAAGGCAAAACGUCACAGGGGCCUUAAUAGCGCUGUUUGAAAUGGCAGUCUGAUUAGGGCUACUAUCUUGUCCUCACAAGAAACUGCCCUUUACAGAGUUAGUCGACUCUAAAUGAUUAUUCAGUGAGUGGAUCAACCAUGUUAUAAAGUUGUUUGCAAAGUUUACACUUCAAAGAGUUGCAUUGAGUAAUUUUUGAUGGACUAAUUCCUCUCCUGUUUUAUUGGUAUCAAAACAUUUUGCCAACCUGAGUCAAAGUUAUCGACUUUAUCAAAUGUUAAGUUGCAUGUAGAGUAGAGGCAUUAAUACAUAUCAACGUUGGAUUCAUAAUGAUGAAGCAAUGUGCCCUUCAAUCAUGGAGAUAGUAGAAAUGUUUCAGAGUCAUUGACCUUGGAAAUGACAUUACAUGAUGGUACUGUAUGUUCUACAGGAGGACUGACUGACGGCCACAGAUGAAAUCCUGUGCAGAAAUGUUUCUAAACACGCAAAGCAAAACCUUUUUAUUAAACAUUUAUUCAAUCAGGACGUUCUCUGGAUUGACACCCCUUCCUCAUGGAGACAUUGAGACACACAAGGCUCAGAAGGAGAAGACUUUGUGCUGCUGUGUCUCUAAGCCAGGACACUUUGGAAGACAUUCUUAAUCUCAAUGAAGCUUUCCUCCAUGUUUCACAGAUCACCUGUGUUUGCAACAUGUUUCUUCUAAAUCCAAAAUAAAUCAGACAAA